AUAACAAUGAUUCCCCUAGUAACGGCGAGCGAAGAGGGAAUAGCUCAAAUUUUAAAUCUGUUGGGUUUUACCUAACCGAAGUGUAAUUUGAAGAAGCGUUUUUCCGCGUUUUCGUUUAACCCAAAUCUUUUGGGAUAAGGUAUCAUGGAGGGUGAGAAUCCCGUCCGGUUAAAUCGAAUCGCUUUUACGAUACGCUUUCUAAGAGUCGAGUUGUUUGGGAUUGCAGCUCAAAAUGGGAGGUAAAUUUCUCCUAAGGCUAAAUACAGGCGAGAGACCGAUAGCGAACAAGUACCGUGAGGGAAAGAUGAAAAGAACUUUGAAAAGAGAGUUAAACAGUACGUGAAAUUGUUGAAAGGGAAACGAUUAAAGUCAGUCAUACUGACGGGGAAUCAACCUUUUGAACGUGUAUUCGUGGGAUUCAAAGAGAUUUUGUGCUCAUGACAUUCGCGUUUAUUUGGUGCACUUUCUCGUGUUUGUAGGUUAACAUCGGUUUUUGAUCGUUAUAAAAUGAUUGAAGGAAUGUAGCUUCGAUUUCGAUUGAAGUGUUAUAACCUUUGGUAGAUGUAACGGUUAGGAUCGAGGAUUGCAACGGAUGCCCUAAUGGGCUAUUCGCCUGGCCUCUGAUACGUCGCUUUGGCUUCGAAAGCAUGCUUACGAUGUUAAAGCGUGCGGUCAAAAGGUUAGAACGGAUUA
rnacentral:rRNA from 1 species